rnacentral:rRNA from 1 species
CCUACGGGACGCAGCAGUGGGGAAUAUUGCACAAUGGGGGAAACCCUGAUGCAGCGACGCCGCGUGAGCGAUGAAGUAUUUCGGUAUGUAAAGCUCUAUCAGCAGGGGAGAAAAUGACGGUACCUGACUAAGAAGCCCCGGCUAACUACGUGCCAGCAGCCGCGGUAAUACGUAGGGGGCAAGCGUUAUCCGGAUGUACUGGGUGUAAAGGGGGCGUAGACGGGGAUGCAAGCCAGCUGUGAAAGCCCGGGGCACAACCCCGGGACUGCAUUUGGAACUGUAUAGCUGGAGUGUCGGAGAGGCAGGCGGAAUUCCUAGUGUAGCGGUGAAAUGCGUAGAUAUUAGGAGGAACACCAGUGGCGAAGGCGGCCUGCUGGACGAUGACUGACGUUGAGGCUCGAAAGCGUGGGGAGCAAACAGGAUUAGAUACCCCAGUAGUC